rnacentral:rRNA from 1 species
GACGAACGCUGGCGGCGUGCUUAACACAUGCAAGUCGAACGGUAAGGCCCUUCGGGGUACACGAGUGGCGAACGGGUGAGUAACACGUGGGUGAUCUGCCCUGCACUUCGGGAUAAGCCUGGGAAACUGGGUCUAAUACCGGAUAGGACCACUGCCUGCAUGGGUGGUGGUGGAAAGCUUUUGCGGUGUGGGAUGGGCCCGCGGCCUAUCAGCUUGUUGGUGGGGUGAUGGCCUACCAAGGCGACGACGGGUAGCCGGCCUGAGAGGGUGACCGGCCACACUGGGACUGAGAUACGGCCCAGACUCCUACGGGAGGCAGCAGUGGGGAAUAUUGCACAAUGGGCGCAAGCCUGAUGCAGCGACGCCGCGUGAGGGAUGACGGCCGUCGGGUUGUAAACCUCUUUCAGCACCGGCGAAGCGCAAGUGACGGUAGGUGCAGAAGAAGGACCGGCCAACUACGUGCCAGCAGCCGCGGUAA